UGACAACAAUUCGCUUGGAAGUUGGAACGAUUAUGGUGACUUGAAUGAUAAUGCAGAUACAAACUCAUUGGGGAGUUGGAAAGAUGGGGCUGGUGGGGAGCCCUUUGAGGAGCUUUCUGUGGACAGAAAUUCAUCUGACGGUUGUAUAGAUGGCGCAGAUUCACAAUCUCAAUCUGUUGGAGAGGCAUCUACAAGUGAAGCAUUCAAAUCAUCCUUACCUGUGACUACCCCGAAAG
rnacentral:misc_RNA from 1 species